AUGCUAUGUAUGCAAGUGAAUUAUAGACUUCUGAUUAGUUGCAUUUCUGCAGUUCACAAGAAGAGAAAUUUAGAAAGGAUUAUACUACCGAUUAUGACAUUCCUGCUGCUCCUAGCAUUCAUAGCCCUCGUGUGGAUGUACAAAUACAGAGGCAAUUGGCGAAAGAAGGAAAACCAGAAGAAACUGAAGCUUGGAUACUUUAGCACAUCCAACCAACUCGAAGAUGAAAAUACAGAAGUUCCAUUUGUUAGUUUUGAAGACACCCUUUUGGCAACAAAUUGUUUUGCUGAUUCCAACUUGCUUGGACGCGGAGGCUUUGGCAAAGUCUACAAGGGAACACUCAAAGGUGGAGACAAUGUUGCUGUUAAAAGGCUAAGUAAGGGUUCUGGACAAGGAGCAGUCGAGUUUAGAAGUGAGGUAGUUCUAAUUGCCAAACUGCAGCACAAAAACCUAGUCCAACUUCUUGGGUGUUGCAUUCAUGAAGAUGAGAAGUUACUAAUCUAUGAAUACUUACCUAAUAAAAGCUUGGAUGCCAUUCUUUUUGGUAUGUGCUUUUUUUAUUGCACAUCGCAAAAUUAUUUAAAUUCACCGAAAAGGCAUUGA
rnacentral:rRNA from 1 species